AUUGAACGCUGGCGGCAGGCCUAACACAUGCAAGUCGAGCGGAUGAAGGGAGCUUGCUCCUGGAUUCAGCGUCGGACGGGUGAGUAAUGCCUAUGAAUCUGCCUGGUAGUGGGGGAUAACGUCCGGAAACGGGCGCUAAUACCGCAUACGUCCUGCGGGAGAAAGUGGGGGAUCUUCGGACCUCACGCUAUCAGAUGAGCCUAGGUCGGAUUAGCUAGUUGGUGGGGUAAAGGCCUACCAAGGCGACGAUCCGUAACUGGUCUGAGAGGAUGAUCAGUCACACUGGAACUGAGACACGGUCCAGACUACUGAGGGAGGCAGCAGUGGGGAAUAUUGGACAAUGGGCGAAAGCCUGAUACAGCCAUGGCAAGUGUGUGAAGAAGGUCUUCGGAUUGUAAAGCACUUUAAGUUGGGAGAAAGGGCAGUAAGUUAAUACCUUGCUGGUUUGACGUUACCAACAGAAUAAGCACCGGCUAACUUCGUG
rnacentral:rRNA from 1 species